ACGCUGGCGGCAGGCUUAACACAUGCAAGUCGAACGGUAACAGGAGAAAGCUUGCUUUCUUGCUGACGAGUGGCGGACGGGUGAGUAAUGCUUGGGAAUCUGGCUUAUGGAGGGGGAUAACGACGGGAAACUGUCGCUAUACCGCGUAGAGUCGAGAGACGAAAGUGCGGGACCGCAAGGCCGCAUGCCAUAGGAUGAGCCCAAGUGGGAUUAGGUAGUUGGUGGGGUAAAGGCCUACCAAGCCGACGAUCUCUAGCUGGUCUGAGAGGAUGACCAGCCACACCGGGACUGAGACACGGCCCGGACUCCUACGGGAGGCAGCAGUGGGGAAUAUUGCGCAAUGGGGGCAACCCUGACGCAGCCAUGCCGCGUGAAUGAAGAAGGCCUUCGGGUUGUAAAGUUCUUUCGGUAUUGAGGAAGGCUUGUUGUUUAAUAGGCACGACAAUUGACGUUAAAUACAGAAGAAGCACCGGCUAACUCCGUGCCAGCAGCCGCGGUAAUACGGAGGGUGCGAGCGUUAAUCGGAAUAACUGGGCGUAAAGGGCACGCAGGCGGACUUUUAAGUGAGGUGUGAAAUCCCCGGGCUUAACCUGGGAAUUGCAUUUCAGACUGGGAGUCUAGAGUACUUUAGGGAGGGGUAGAAUUCCACGUGUAGCGGUGAAAUGCGUAGAGAUGUGGAGGAAUACCGAAGGCGAAGGCAGCCCCUUGGGAAUGUACUGACGCUCAUGUGCGAAAGCGUGGGGAGCAAACAGGAUUAGAUACCCUGGUAGUCCACGCUGUAAACGCUGUCGAUUUGGGGAUUGGGCCUUGAGCUUGGUGCCCGAAGCUAACGUGAUAAAUCGACCGCCUGGGGAGUACGGCCGCAAGGUUAAAACUCAAAUGAAUUGACGGGGGCCCGCACAAGCGGUGG
rnacentral:rRNA from 1 species